rnacentral:tRNA from 1 species
GGACGUGGCUCAAGUGGUAGAGUGCUCGCCUAGCAUGCGUGAGGCACUGGGUUCAAUUCUCAGCACCA